rnacentral:rRNA from 1 species
CGGAACAAUUUUUACUUUAGUGGCGGACGGGUGAGUAACGCGUGGGUAACCUGCCUUAUACAGGGGGAUAACACUUAGAAAUAGGUGCUAAGACCGCAUAAGCGCCCAGGGCCGCAUGGCCCAGGGUGAAAAACUCCGGUGGUAUAGGAUGGGCCCGCGUCUGAUUAGCCAGUUGGCAGGGUAACGGCCUACCAAAGCGACGAUCAGUAGCCGGCCUGAGAGGGUGGACGGCCACAUUGGGACUGAGACACGGCCCAAACUCCUACGGGAGGCAGCAG